UACGUAGGUGGCAAGCGUUGUCCGGAUUUAUUGGGUUUAAAGGGUGCGUAGGCGGUCAUGUAAGUCAGCGGUGAAAUCCGGCAGCUCAACUGUCGAUGUGCCAUUGAUACUGCAUGACUUGAGUACUGAUGAGGUAGGCGGAAUUGACGGUGUAGCGGUGAAAUGCUUAGAUAUCGUCAAGAACACCGAUAGCGAAGGCAGCUUACUAAAGAGUAACUGACGCUGAGGCGCGAAAGUGUGGGGAUCAAACAGG
rnacentral:rRNA from 1 species